UAUUGACAAUGAAGAGUUUGAUCCUGGCUCAGGAUGAACGCUAGCGAUAGGCUUAACACAUGCAAGUCGAGGGGCAGCAUGGUCUUAGCUUGCUAAGACUGAUGGCGACCGGCGCACGGGUGCGUAACGCGUAUGCAACUUGCCUCACAGAGGGGGAUAACCCGUCGAAAGACGGACUAAUACCGCGUACACUCUAUGUUGGGCAUCCAAUGUAGAGGAAAUGAACUUCGCUGUGAGAUAGGCAUGCGUCCCAUUAGCUAGUUGGUGAGGUAACGGCUCACCAAGGCGACGAUGGGUAGGGGAACUGAGAGGUUGAACCCCCACACUGGUACUGAGACACGGACCAGACUCCUACGGGAGGCAGCAGUGAGGAAUAUUGGUCAAUGGGCGGAAGUCUGAACCAGCCAAGUAGCGUGCAGGAUGACGGCCCUAUGGGUUGUAAACUGCUUUUGUAUGGGGAUAAAGUUAGGGACGUGUCCCUAUUUGCAGGUACCAUACGAAUAAGGACCGGCUAAUUCCGUGCCAGCAGCCGCGGUAAUACGGAAGGUCCAGGCGUUAUCCGGAUUUAUUGGGUUUAAAGGGAGCGUAGGCUGGAGAUUAAGUGUGUUGUGAAAUGUAGACGCUCAACGUCUGACUUGCAGCGCAUACUGGUUUCCUUGAGUACGCACAACGUUGGCGGAAUUCGUCGUGUAGCGGUGAAAUGCUUAGAUAUGACGAAGAACUCCGAUUGCGAAGGCAGCUGACGGGAGCGCAACUGACGCUUAAGCUCGAAGGUGCGGGUAUCAAACAGGAUUAGAUACCCUGGUAGUCCGCACAGUAAACGAUGGAUGCCCGCUGUUGGUACCUGGUAUCAGCGGCUAAGCGAAAGCAUUAAGCAUCCCACCUGGGGAGUACGCCGGCAACGGUGAAACUCAAAGGAAUUGACGGGGGCCCGCACAAGCGGUGGAGCA
rnacentral:rRNA from 1 species